UACGUAGGGGGCAAGCGUUGUCCGGAUUUAUUGGGCGUAAAGAGCUCGUAGGCGGUCUGUUGCGUCGGCUGUGAAAACCCGGGGCUCAACCCCGGGCCUGCAGCCCAUACGGGCAGACUAGAGUUCGGCAGGGGAGACUGGAAUUCCUGGUGUAGCGGUGAAAUGCGCAGAUAUCAGGAAGAACACCCGUGGCUAAGGCGGCUCUCUAGUACGGUACUGACGCUGAGACGCGAAAGCGUGGGGAGCGAACAGG
rnacentral:rRNA from 1 species